CACCUUCGGAUUCGCAUGGCCUUGCGCCGGCGAAUGGUUCUUUCAAAUUUCUGGCCCUAUCAACUUUCGAGGGUAGGAUAGUGGCCUACCAUGGUGGCAACGGGUAACGGGGAAUUGGGUUCGAUUCCGGAGAGGGAGCCUGAGAAACGGCUACCACAUCCAAGGAAGGCAGCAGGCGCGCAAAUUACCCAAUCCCGAUACGGGGAGGUAGUGACAAUAAAUACUGAUACAGGGCUCUUUUGGGUCUUGUAAUUGGAAUGAGAACAAUCUAAAUCCCUUAACGAGGAACAAUUGGAGGGCAAGUCUGGUGCCAGCAGCCGCGGUAAUUCCAGCUCCAAUAGCGUAUAUUAAAGUUGUUGCAGUUAAAAAGCUCGUAGUUGAACCUUGGGCCCGUCCUGCCGGUCCGCCUCACCGCGAGUACUGGUCCGGAUGGGCCUUUCUUUCUGGGGAAUCCCAUGGCCUUCACUGGCUGUGGCGGGGAACCAGGACUUUUACUGUGAAAAAAUUAGAGUGUUCAAAGCAGGCCUUUGCUCGGAUACAUUAGCAUGGAAUAAUAGAAUAGGACGUGCGGUUCUAUUUUGUUGGUUUCUAGGACCGCCGUAAUGAUUAAUAGGGAUAGUCGGGGGCGUCAGUAUUCAGCUGUCAGAGGUGAAAUUCUUGGAUUUGCUGAAGACUAACUACUGCGAAAGCAUUCGCCAAAGGAUGUUUUCAUUAAUCAUGGGAACGAAAGUUAUGGGGAUCGAAGACGAUCAGAUACCGUCGUAGUCUUAACCCAUAAACUAUGCCCGACUAGGAUCGGGCGGGGUUUCUAUGAUGACCCGCUCGGCAACAUUACGAGAAAUCAAAGUUUUGGGAUCCUGGGGGGGAGUAAUGGAUCGGGCAAUGGACG
rnacentral:rRNA from 1 species